GGGACUUGCGACUGUGUUUUCUGAAUUCAGCACUUAUUGGCGCCUUCCUGGCAAGACUAUUGCUCUUCAGAUUGGUAUGCUUGGUUUAACGGAAGAAUUUGCUUCCAGGCCAAUGAAAUCGAGGCUGAUUCGGACAGAUUGAAGUUUCGACGCGUAGGAUCGAGCAGUUAAACAGCCCACCAUGGUUCUGAGGUUGGGCCAGAAAUCAUCAUUAGACCUGUUAUGUGAGGUAGCACUGGCACCUGACGAUGCGGUUGUCUCGGAACUGGUCGCCCGUGAUGCCCGCAAUUCGAGUGAAAAGAUUUCGAAGAAGGCUGCAGGUGGUGUGCUGGACCUGGAUGAGAUACUGAAACUCAGCAGCAAGCAGCUGGUCAAACAUUUCACUCGGUUCGAGUCGAACGAGCUGCGCCGCGUUUUUAAGUACACCUGCUGCCUGGCUCCGUCGAUUUGCCGAUAUGAAAGCACCAGCUUUGGCAAUGAAUCGAAGUCAUUGCGAGCAAUUAAGCAACAUUUGCAAAGCCAUCUGAAGCAGCUCAGUUCAGAAGCAACUGGCCGCAUCAAGUUCACAGCGGAGACGAUUGUGCCGCUGCCUCGGCGGACCACAGAUAUCCGCAUCGGAAAAAAAUACUACGCGAGAGCUAACGGAAAGUCGCCUUCUGCGGCCGGCGGCGCGAGCGGAGCCCAAAAGCAGCCGGUGGAGCCCAGCCCCAGCGUCCCUCAGGGCGCUCCACCACAGCUGCCAAGGCGUCUGAGCCGUCCCAGCGGCCCGAGCCAGCCGCAGGUCGCCUCCGCCGACUCGCCGUCGGCAGAGGAA
rnacentral:lncRNA from 1 species